rnacentral:lncRNA from 1 species
GGCCAAAAGAAAUAAGGGGCAAUAAUCAGAUGCAAAUCUCACAAGAUGGUGUAUAUCAGAAGUGGAGAACAUAUCAAACUAAUUUGCAGACACAAUCCUCGAUCAAUUCGUUCCCAUACCCUCGCCAAUCCCUCUUGAUUGUUACACCAAGUGAACUUCAGACUAACAAAAUCAAGAUCAAUUAAAUUGUUAGAUGAGGGGAAGUUUCGAAAUUCCUUGAUGUCCCAGUCAAGAGAGAAAGGCUUGCCUCCGAGUUUAUCAUUGGAAUGCAUAAUACAAUUGAAAUCUC